UGUGUGUGUGUAGACAGUACAUUUAACUUCCUGGACGCCUGGGAUAAGAUAACAGUAGACAGUCAGCCGCAAGGAGAACAUCAUGUCGGACGAAGGACAAAACAUGCAAUUUCCGAACCUGUCAAUUAGGGAAGGGUGCUGGAAAUGUGAUGGGGUUUUAACAGAUCUUACACGACUGCCAAACGGCCUUCUCGUCUGUGAGCGUUGUCAUGAUGAGCUGAUUGGUUAUAAGAGUCGCAAAAAUGAGGACUCGAAGUCGGCAGACGUCGCUUCCGAUGAUGGUACUUCUAUCCGAAUUGAGCAUAUGAACAUCAAUCGCAUGUACAUCAAUAUUUCAGAUACUGAGAGCAAACAGGAAGGAGACACUUGGGCGCGUUAGAGAUGUGGACAUACACAACAAGGAAGUAGCUGGUCGUAUCGCGGAUGGUAAGCAGAAGUGUGUCUUUCUCUCUCUCUGUUCCGCAGUUACUUUAUUCAGAUGUCCUAGUAGGUGAUGCAUUAUGCACCGUAAGACCGAGAAUGUUCAGUUCGAUAAAGAGGACGUAUGUUUAUUGAUUCCAGAGGUCGAACACAAAAUGUGUCUAAAAAUUGUCCUUUUUAAAAACUACGAGUAACAUUUAUCGACUAAAGGAUGUGCUCAAUGCUUUGAAAAAGUUUAACUGAUUACGGUCAUGUUUACUUCGACAAACUAGUCGUAGUGUUUUCUAAAUGACGAUAAAUCGAGCCUUUUCGAAAGUGAUGCUAUUUUCAUUGUGUUUCAUAGUAAAAAGAAUGAAAGCCAAAAUAAAACGUCGCUUUCUGUUUGUGAAUUAUUUACUUUUCGUUUGAAAAACAAUAAAUAUCAAAGACUGAGGCCAUUGAUGACACACGUACAUUAUAGUAGAUAUGGGACUAUAUGAGCAAAGUAAGUAAUAAGGCAUUUCGUUCAUUUAUUUGUUUUGAUAUCACUCAAUCAACCAAUUUGAUGUUUCGAAACGUACCACUUUAUAUCAUUUUACUGCUAUCUGCUACAAAGGACAUCUGGUAUGCAAUACUGAUUUUAGUUGAAGGUAUUGUAAAAUGUGUCCUUGACGUACGCCUUCCCGUCCCUGAGAUGCAGUUCAAAUUAAUAUUUUAAACACUGAUUCUUCUCUCCAAAGGUUGUCUUCUGAAAUGUCGAUCUUAAUUUAUCGUCCAGAAGAUAAGUUUUGCACUGAGUGACCUUCUGUAAAGAAGGUGGGUUAAUGUUGAACUUGCAUUUGAAAACCGCAAAAAUAACCUAAAAUCAAACAAAACGUAUUAUUCUAUGUGCUCUCCGUUACUCCUACGGGUUUAUUUAUGAUGACUCGGUUGUUUCCUACCUAAGGUCUCUUUUCCUAGUUUUCACUAGUAAUUACUUGCAUGUACCUGCGUAGUCAAGUGAACGGCACGAGGGACAACAUUAACGUCGGUAAAAUUGCUCAGUGCCGAAACACGAAUGAAAUUGGUCGUAAUUAGUUAAAUCAAUUAGUUGUAGUUGAUUUCCAAAAGCAUUUCGUGGGGAUCGAGUAGAAUGUUUUCUGUUAUUCGUAAUAGUUGGUAUAUAUUCAAAACUGGUAAAACCUCCGUCAACAUAGUGACUGCCGAUCACAGUCGCGAUCACGAAUAUACACUGAAAAAGUGAAAGUUAAAAUAUGCGCAACCUGUCCCUUUUCCUUACUUUACAUUCAUACAUGAUAUUGUUCGAUACUGAUUUUUUUAUAUCGCAUCAAUUUAAACAUAUCUAAACUAACAAAAUCACUUAAAAACACUAAAUUUACAUGUAUCCUUCGUGUUAACCAAUCAGUACAGACAGCGCGGGACCUGUACACAAUGUGACGUCAUCGGAAUGUACAUGUUUCAACAAUGUACAACAUUUUAUAGUUUAUAUAAAUACAUGAAUGAGCAAAAUAAUGCGGCGAAAUUCAACCUCAUGCGACACCCUAACACUUGACUCAUUGAAAAAAGGAUUAUUUAAUCAUACGUGUAUCAACAUCCAACUCUAGAAUUAAGACGGUCAACACAAUGUCUUCAGCGACUUAAAGGUCUUGCUUUAUCUUGCAUUAAGAUUA